rnacentral:rRNA from 1 species
CCUACGGGGGGCAGCAGUGGGGAAUAUUGGACAAUGGGGGGAACCCUGAUCCAGCCAUGCCGCGUGUGUGAAGAAGGCCCUCGGGUUGUAAAGCACUUUCAGUGAGGAAGAACGCCUGGUGGUUAAUACCCAUCUGGAAAGACAUCACUCACAGAAGAAGCACCGGCUAACUCCGUGCCAGCAGCCGCGGUAAUACGGAGGGUGCGAGCGUUAAUCGGAAUUACUGGGCGUAAAGCGCGCGUAGGUGGCUUGAUAAGCCGGUUGUGAAAGCCCCGGGCUCAACCUGGGAACGGCAUCCGGAACUGUCAAGCUAGAGUGCAGGAGAGGAAGGUAGAAUUCCCGGUGCAGCGGUGAACUGCGUAGAGAUCGGGAGGAAUAUCAGUGGCGAAGGCGGCCUUCUGGACUGACACUGACACUGCGGUGCGAAAGCGUGGGUAGCAAGCAGGAUUAGAUACCCGGGUAGUG